GACGAACGCUGGCGGCGUGCUUAACACAUGCAAGUCGAACGGUAAGGCCCUUCGGGGUACACGAGUGGCGAACGGGUGAGUAACACGUGGGUGAUCUGCCCUGCACUUCGGGAUAAGCCUGGGAAACUGGGUCUAAUACCGGAUAGGACCACUGCCUGCAUGGGUGGUGGUGGAAAGCUUUUGCGGUGUGGGAUGGGCCCGCGGCCUAUCAGCUUGUUGGUGGGGUGAUGGCCCACCAAGGCGACGACGGGUAGCCGGCCUGAGUGGGUGACCGGCCACACUGGGACUGAGAUACGGCCCAGACUCCUACGGGAGGCAGCAGUGGGGAAUAUUGCACAAUGGGCGCAAGCCUGAUGCAGCGACGCCGCGUGAGGGAUGACGGCCUUCGGGUUGUGAACCUCUUUCAGCACCGACGAAGCGCAAGUGACGGUAGGUGCAGAAGAAGGACCGGCCAACUACGUGCCAGCCGCCGCGGUAA
rnacentral:rRNA from 1 species